CUUGUUGGGGUUGCGGCAUGGCGCAGUACAGGAUAGGCCGAGACUAGGUCAGGGGCGGGACUUAUGCGUGCCCCGGCUCGGGAUAGGCUGAGCCUGUGAGUAGGGCCCGGCCUGCCCGCUCGGGAAGGCGGUGGCUGUGUGUCACUGUUUAGGUCCUGUCUCUCCAGCAAAACUGGUGAUAGUCUUGGUUAACAACCCCGAAGUGUCAGGGCGACACACGUGGUCCUGGCUCUCUACCGUGACGGCUCUGAGCCGCUUCCGCUGGUCCCACGGCGUUGCCCGCGGCCCCCCUAACGAUUCCUGAGCGUCCGUGUUUAUUUAAUGCGGGUCGAGGAUUGCUCAGGACGUCCUUGUCGUGGCUUCCUCGGACUUGGCCUGAGGUCUCUGCAGCGCCUUUGCCAUCGCCAGCCCUGCCUCGCGGCUCUCCUGGCCCCGUCCUGGACUCCAAGCCUUUCCUGUGUUGCUGCUACUACAACAUGCUUCUGUCUGUGAAGCCUCCAACGCAGUACACCGUGCAGUCCUGGGCCUGCCCACCUCUUCCUGGGCCUGCCUACCUCUUCCUUUGGCCUUGAGGUACUCUACCAGUGGCAGCCAGCUUAUGUACAGGACAGGAUUUCCUCUUAGGAACCUGCCCCAGGCACACUCUGGCCAUGAAGAGUGACCACCUCUCAGGGCUGGAAAGCAGCAGGGCAGGGUCAAGGUGAGCGCAGAAUGGCCACACACUCAGUGGCUCCUGGACAUGUUUAUUAUCACAUGACUCCAGAUGGACACACUGUGUGACAGUGUGUCACACAAGGCCUCUGUUUUGAGCACUUAGGCUCAUUUGAAAUAGCACAGUUUUUAAAACUGUACACAGUGCUGGCUUUCAGAUGUUUAAAAUCAUUGUAGUAUUCAAUGAGUGGAGCUGAAAGCUUCAGUGGAAAAAUAGAAAUACAGAAAAUAAUUUUCA